CGGAGCGGCUGGGCCCGUGAGCCAUGGCCACUGAGCCUGCGCGUCUGGAGCCCUGUGCUCUGCAACGGGAGAAGCCACAACAGUGAGAGGCCCGCGUACCGUAAAAAAUAAAAAUAAAAAAAUAAAAAAGAUUAUGAUGGUAGAAAAUGAGAGAACAGGACUGUCAUAAUAUGACUCCUGCUUCUUUUCUUUAUUGGAGGAAGUGGGAAGAUCUGACUAGAUGAAAUGAACCAGCAACCAAACAGGUGAACACUAUAGUGUAAAAUGGACAUUGCUGAAGAAGGAUAGAGAUUUAUAUGAACUGCAACAGAGACAUUACUGACAUCACAUGCAGCAGUGGUCUGUGGAUAUGAAAGGGUAGAAAAUACUGAGUUGAGAGUCAGGAGACUUGGCUUCUAGAUCAUCUCACACUCUGCAGCUGUAAGACUUUGGAUGAGGAACCAAAGCCUGAAAAAUGGAUCUAAGUUGCCUGAUUAACCAACGUCAUCCCUGGACUAAAGCCCCUGGCUUCCUGACUCCUAGUCCAGCUGUCUUUCUGUCAUUUCCAUAAUGGGAGUUGAGCAAAGAUAAUAGAAAACGCAUUUAUCCCUGGUUUUCUAAAGCUUGAGAGGGAUGAAAUAGAAAGAGAGGAGGAGGCUGAAGUGGGGUGAAAGGUGUAAAAAGCAGAUUUACUUCCCUGGUUUUGCAUUACUUUCCUGAGUUUACAUUGCUUGAGCACACACCCCCUGAUGGUGGAGGGAAGUGGUAGAGCGUAGCCAACAUGGGAUUAAAGAUUGCAUUACAUCAAGCCACAGAGUAAAUAAUCUACAUGUCCACAAUGGAAGGGAGUGUGAGAGGGUGUCUUUUUUCUUCUCUCACAUAUAGUUCUUUAGGUCUCCUCCGGCCACCUCAGACCUAGACUAAUUUUCCAGAAGGUCCUACAUAACCCUUCUCUUCAGGGCUCCAAGCUUGCUAGUGUGUGGAUUUGGCAGAGAAGUGCAAACUAAAAAGGUUAUGCAUAAAAAAUCACUUGUGACCUGAAAAUUAUUUCAGUGUGGGGUUGGUGCUCCACGUGGUUGAGUAGAAAGAGCCCUGGGCCAGAGACGGGAUGCCUGACUGCUUCCCCAGCCCUGCCACUAACUAGCUGGGGGGCCCCAGAAGAGGAAGUUAACGUCUCUGCACAUCUGUUUUGUAACCUAUAAAAUGUCAUCAAAAACACUCACCACAUUUUAUUUUCCUUUAUCCUCACAAGAACUCCCCAAGGUAGAUAGUACUCUUCCCAUAUUAGAGGUGAAGAAAUACAGGCUUAGAGAAUUGUGACUUGCCCAAUAUCAUUCAGCUAGUAAGUGGCAGAAUCUAAAAGACAUUGGACUUGAGCACAGAAUGUACUCUUAACCUCCAAGAUAGACUACCUAUAUUUUGAUGGGAGAAAUGGAUAGUAAAGUUUCAAAGCACUUUAAAGGAGUUUAAGCAAAUGUUUACUACAGUCAUUCAGAGGGGUUAUAAUCCCAAGGAGGUGCCUGUACUCAAGUCAUUUUCAGCUCAUUGACUUUCUUAUUCAUUGCUUUUCAUGUGGAUCUGAGAGUAUCAAACCAGUUAUCCUCUUUCACCUCAUUUGCUUUUGGUGUCAGUUCUCCUCCCACACUGGCUGCUUUCAGGGCCAGCCAGCACCACUUCUUGCCAAGUGGAGGAGUGUAAGUGUAGGAAGCCACGCUCACACACUCACAAGCAAGCACACAAAUGCCCACACUCAUCAACGCACGCACGCGCACACACAUAUAUUCAUAUUACUUUGUACGCACAUCCAUGGUUUCAGAACCUGACAAUUUAAGAGUUUGUCAUUAUUAUGACAGUGCAUAUAUCAUGUACAAAUAAUUUCCCAGAAUUGGGCUUUGGAGUGAAAAAUGCUGUGAUAAAGUGAUAGAAAGUGGAGGGAUACGUACUAAGGAGAAUACCAAGAAACUUAGACCCUUCUGGCUUCACCUCCAACCUUGAAUUCUGCUAUAAGCUUAUUAAUUUCGCCCAGCUCAUUCAGCCUCCUUGAAAGGCCCUUACCCCUUGGUGGGCAAUAGGUUUGACACCUCAGUGUCUCUUCGUGAGCUGAUUCUGAGCUUUCACUCUGUCGUCUACAUAUGUGUUCUGGGCAGUGGUGGUCAUCAGACUGUAAACUUCAGAGGUUCGGGAUCACAUCUGUGGAAUUCUCCCUUCAGUGGUUUGGCACUACAUGCAAUUAGCUCUUUGGUGAUGACAACACUUCAUUCUUGCUACUGCUUUUUGUUUGGUUUGCUUAGGACGCAGACACAAAAGAUUUUGAUCCUCAUUUAAUUAUGUAUAGCCCAGAACUGUUGUGGCAUUUAACAAAUGAAUUUAUUCAUUGCACAUGCACUUGUGAACACUGUGGUAAUAUUACGUCAUUUUUGCAUUAAACCUUAAUGUUUAUAAAGCACAUCCAUGAUUAGUGUCACACUCAGACUUCCCUUUGAGACAGUAGAAAGGGAUAAAAAUAUUACCUACUUCAUGAGGAUUAAAUUUGUGAGGAUUAAAUGCAAUAAACUACUUAGCAUUGGGGGCUGGCACAGAGCAAACAGUAUUAAAUGUUACUAUUAGUACAUGACUGGCCCAUAUUACUGAUGAGGACCCACAGCUCAGAGAUGCUAAGUUACUUGUUCAGGUUGUACAGUUAAGUGGUGGAAUUCAGUUAAGAAUCUAAGUCUCCAGACUCCAAGCCCAUUUUAGGAAAUUAUCAGUUGACACUGCAAUCAUGGAAGGAAAAAAGCAGAGCCUCAGAGGAAGAGCAUUCCUGACAGUUUUAUGGUGGAUAUACCCUGAGCCACAGAUACACUCCUUUAUUGGAAGACUGAGGAAAUGCAGACUGGGCAACUGGAAGGAACUGAAGGAAAGACUCCAACGUACAAGAAAGGCAUGGAGCAGCAAAUCAAAGUAAAGAGUAACAAACACAGGGAAGAGCCCAUCCUAGGCCGAGUCUUCGGCAGAUGAAUGAAAGGGGGCUGAGAACAAGACAUUUCUCAGCCUCUUGUUGGCUGCCUUUUGCUAGAAAGAGAUCAGGACUCCUGCUCUCUACAGAUGACUGACUACAGAAUACAGAGGGCAAGAGGGAGGGAAGGAGAGUUUCCACCAGGGUGAGGUAUUUCUGACUCUGCCUUGUUGACAGCAAACAGUGGCGGUAGUGGGACUUUUGACAGGAAGUGUCCAUCUCUGGGGGAGUCAGGAUCGGGCCAGGAGGUAGAGCAACCCUGCCACCCUAAAGCUCUGGCUUUUUCCCCUCUGCACUCUGGUGCAGGAGCUUCCACAUCUCUCAUGCCUCCUUAGGGCAGCAGGGGGAGGACGCGAGGCCAGCCUUCAGCAGGGACCAUUUCGUUUACAUUCCCACCCCUCGGCCCUGGGAAGCCCCGAGUUCCCACACUCACUGAGGCAGGAAGGUCGCCACGGACACCUCAUCUGUCUGGGUUGCUGACUAACUACAGAUAAGCAGCAGCUGCUGCAUCCACAUUGGAUGCAGAUUGCCCACCCUGGAACCAGGCAGAGAAGGGCCAACCUCUGCCCACUGGGGGGUGGGGGACCACAAGGCCUCCGGGGCCGUCUGCUGCGGCUGAGGCCCAAUGACCGCGGGGGAGGGGUCCCCCGAAAAACUCGCUUUGAGGGAGCUGCUGGACGGGACCAAGGAAAGGCAGGUCUUUGGUGUGCCUACCCCACGGCACAAAUCCAACCCGACAGCCGUCGAGCACUUGACAGUUUUACAGUACUCUGCUGCAUACUUUUUCUCACAUCACUCUGACCACCACCCGUGAAGAACACAGAGCAGGUGUUUUUGUGUCCAUUUUGCAGAUGAGUAAACAGCCUCAGGAUGUUUGAGAGACUUGCCCAAGUUCUCACAGCUAGUCAGUGGUAAAAGCCGUUUUUUCACGGCCUGUUUGGUGGGUCUUUCCAUUACUAUGUGCAAACACAACAAGCCAAGUGGACAAGUUCCAAUUUUUAUCUCUGAAAGAAAACUCCUCCUCCUGGGUUUAACCUGUCUUCCACCCAGCCUGGGGUGUAGUGAGAAACACUUCAGUCUUGGAAUUUGAAUCCCGAUUCCCCUUCUUGCCAGCCAAGUAAUUUAGCAGCUGUGUGAUUUUGGAUUUGAUUUUCUUGAAUAUUCGCUUCCACAUGUAUAAAAUGGAGAUGAUGUUGCUUAAGUUGUGGAGGCUUCUGUAAGGAUUAAAAAUAACAGUAAACAUCUACUGACUAUUUUCUGUACCCUCAGCUCAGUUCUAAGCACCUCAUGUGCACUGACUCACUGAAUUCUCACAACAGCCCUAGGUUAGUUCAUAUGUGCUAUGUUAUUUCACUUCAUAGAUGAGGAAACAAUAGCAGAGGUAAAGAGACUUACCCCAGGUCACACAGCAAACAAAUAGCAGAGCCAGAAUUCUCACCCAGGCUGUCUGACACCAAAGCCAAGUGCUUAAUCUCCAUGUUAUACUGACUAUGCAAAUUAUGAUGACUGCCUACAAUAAGGUACUCAAUCAAUAGCUGUUACUAGGUAUUGGGGCAGGUGUAGCUUGAUUUAUAAGCAAACUGAAGAGCUAACUGCCUGAACUAAUUAGAUAAACCAAAGGCCUGUCCACUAGGAAGUAUCUUCAGUUUAGUAUGCCAUGGUUUCUCAUUUGCCACCACCAGCGUCAUUCCUUUAGAACAGGAAGACACUUCAGGAACAUUUGGCAAUGUCUAGAGACAUUUUUGGUUGUCACAGAUGUGGGAGUGCUACUGGCAUCUAAUGGGUAAGGCCAGGGAUGCUGCUAAACAUCCUGUAAUGCACACAACCGUCCCUGCACCAAAGAAUUAUCUGGCCCCAGUGUCAAUAUGCUGAGGUUUAGAAAUUGCUUUAAUAUUGAGUAUUUAUUAUGGACUAAAUACUAAAUAUUGAGUAUUUAGUAAGACUACUUUAGUCUUGAAGAGCCCUGUUAAUACACAAAUUUGUCACAUAGAGCAACAAAGUAAUGUUCUGUUUAACGUCUCUUGAUAUGCUGACACAGUUCAAUCUAUGCAAUAUCUGUUAUUACUAUUGCUGUUGUUACUGUUGUUGUUGCCAAGCAAAGAUGUGUGCCCUAGAAAUGAUCAAGCCGAUUUGGGGUUUGUGGUAGAGUUAGAAAACUGAAGCUCUUUUUCUGUCAAGUUACGUUACCAUCCUCCAAAUUGCUGACAUUUCUUCCAAUAUGUUGAAAUAGGUCAUAAAUAAACUCACAGCGAUGCCAUUUCCUUUUAACAUGCAGUUCUGUGACUCCCUGAUAUCUCUCAGUUCAGUCAGCUCUUCUUUUGUCCCCCUUCCCAUUAUGCAUA